AGAUUGAACGCUGGCGGCAGGCCUAACACAUGCAAGUCGAGCGGUAGAGAGGUGCUUGCAUCUCUUGAGAGCGGCGGACGGGUGAGUAAUGCCUAGGAAUCUGCCUAGUGGUGGGGGAUAACGUUCGGAAACGGACGCUAAUACCGCAUACGUCCUACGGGAGAAAGCGGGGACCUUCGGGCCUCGCGCCAUUAGAUGAGCCUAGGUCGGAUUAGCUAGUUGGUGAGGUAAUGGCUCACCAAGGCGACGAUCCGUAACUGGUCUGAGAGGAUGAUCAGUCACACUGGAACUGAGACACGGUCCAGACUCCUACGGGAGGCAGCAGGUAGGGGAAUAGUUGGAACAAAGUGGGGACGAAAGCCUAGAUCCAGCCAUCGCCGCGUGUGUAGAAGAGGUCGUUACGGAUUGUAAAG
rnacentral:rRNA from 1 species